GCCCUUGGGCUUGACAUCCCACGAACCUGGUGAAAGCCGGGAGUGCCCGCAAGGGAGCGCAGAGACAGGUGGUGCAUGGCUGUCGUCAGCUCGUGUCGUGAGAUGUUGGGUUAAGUCCCGCAACGAGCGCAACCCUCACCCUUUGUUGCCACCAGGUUAUGCUGGGCACUCUAAGGGAACUGCCUCGGUUAACGAGGAGGAAGGUGGGGAUGACGUCAAGUCAUCAUGCCCCUUACGCUCUGGGCUACACACGUGCUACAAUGGCCAAUACAAAGGGCUGCAAACCCGCGAGGGCAAGCCAAUCCCAAAAAAUUGGUCUCAGUUCAGAUUGUAGGCUGUAACCCGCCUGCAUGAAGGAGGAAUCGCUAGUAAUCGUGGAUCAGCAUGCCACGGUGAAUACGUUCCCGGGCCUUGUACACACCGCCCGUCACACCACGAAAGUCUGCUGUACUCGAAGUCGCUGAGAAGGGC
rnacentral:rRNA from 1 species